ACGGAGGAUGCGAGCGUUAUCCGGAUUUAUUGGGUUUAAAGGGAGCGCAGACGGGAGAUUAAGUCAGCUGUGAAAGUUUGCGGCUCAACCGUAAAAUUGCAGUUGAUACUGGUUUCCUUGAGUGCGGUUGAGGUGUGCGGAAUUCGUGGUGUAGCGGUGAAAUGCUUAGAUAUCACGAAGAACCCCGAUUGCGAAGGCAGCACACUAAGCCGUAACUGACGUUCAUGCUCGAAAGUGUGGGUAUCAAACAG
rnacentral:rRNA from 1 species